rnacentral:rRNA from 1 species
UACGUAGGGUGCAGGCGUUAAUCGGAAUUACUGGGCGUAAAGCGUGCGCAGGCGGUUUGCUAAGACAGGUGUGAAAUCCCCGGGCUUAACCUGGGAACUGCGCUUGUAACUGGCAAGCUAGAGUGUGGCAGAGGGGGGUGGAAUUCCAGGUGUAGCAGUGAAAUGCGUAGAGAUCUGGAGGAACACCGAUGGCGAAGGCAGCCCCCUGGGCUAACACUGACGCUCAGGCACGAAAGCGUGGGGAGCAAACAGG